rnacentral:rRNA from 1 species
ACGCCGUAAACGAUGUCUACUAGCCGUUGGGACUCUUGAAGUCUUAGUGGCGCAGCUAACGCACUAAGUAGACCGCCUGUGGAGUACGGCCGCAAGGUUAAAACUCAAAUGAAUUGACGGGGGCCCGCACAAGCGGUGGAGCAUGUGGUUUAAUUAGACGCAACGCGAAGAACCUUACCUGGCCUUGACAUGCAGAGAACUUUCCAGAGAUGGAUUGGUGCCUUCGGGAACUCUGACACAGGUGCUGCAUGGCCGUCGUCAGCUCGUGUCGUGAGAUGUUGGGUUAAGUCCCGUAACGAGCGCAACCCCUAUCCCUAGUUGCUAGCAGUUCGGCUGAGAACUCUAUGGAGACUGCCGGUGACAAACCGGAGGAAGGUGGGGAUGACGUCAGGUCAUCAUGGCCCUUACGGCCAGGGCUACACACGUGCUACAAUGGCGCGCACAGAGGGCUGCAAACCCGCGAGGGGGAGCCAAUCUCACAAAACGCGUCGUAGUCCGGAUCGCAGUCUGCAACUCGACUGCGUGAAGUCGGAAUCGCUAGUAAUCGUGAAUCAGAAUGUCACGGUGAAUACGUUCCCGGGCCUUGUACACACCGCCCGUCACACCAUGGGAGUGGAUUGCACCAGAAGUGGUUAGUCUAACC